rnacentral:lncRNA from 1 species
CGCUUUUCUUACUACUGAAACUGCUAAUUGCAUGUGUAGAGGAACUGAGGAAUGCUGCUAUCAUUUCGAUCACCAGAAAACAAAAAAGCAAACCCCUCACCCUGGUCCUAGAAAAACUACCGAUUGCAGUCCUGUUCAUGAUCAGAAAGCACGGGAAUUCAGAAUUUGCUCUUGUGAUCGGUAUUAUGUCAAAUGCAUAAGAAAAGUUGGGAGGGAAUAGGUACUGUUUGAGUGACAGCAAGUAAAGAAGAAGUUGUGCGUUCAAUCAUUGAUGAACAUCUUGUAGGAAGUUGCAUAUGACAGCAAAGAAACGUGGGGUAUACCUGCUAGCCCAAGCUUGUGCACUCUGCAUAUUGCCAAUUUUGGCAUAUCAGUACGGUACGUAGACAAAGCUCUAUUUGAUAACCCCUUUACUUGUGGCUUGAACUAAAAGUAUUAUUACAAGCACUUAAUUUCGUUACAGACAGACAUAAUAGUUGAACUGUGCUAGCAAGGCUGAAAGUAAAUAUAGUCCAAAGAAAUCAAACAUCAAGGCUAUAUGUUCUGCAACUAGACUAUCUGAAGUUCUAUUGGCAGGGUUUUGUACAUUUCUGCAAUGAAAAUUAAAGUUGUAACUGUAUGGAUUUUUUUUAGGGAAAUGGAUUUGUUCUAUCAGAUAUAUAUGUAGUCUAGCAGCAUGCUCAAGAAUAUGUAGGUAGCUAGGCAGUCCAAUUUAAUCUACCAUCCUCUUUGGUAGUUUACUGAAAUUAUCAUCUACAGUCUACUACAGAAAACCAUAAUAAACAAUAAGGACAAAUCGUAUAGUAUUUUGCAACUAAAAAUGUCAUCCCAAUAUACAAUGAUGAGAUUCUGGCAUAUAAUUAAUUGGCGAAAAAGGGUGAGAACGUACAGGAAAGUCUUAGAAUUUUAAAGAUUAAAGACACCCGAAGCCAAAGCACAUAAGCCAAUUUUUGGCUUAUUCGAGGACCUUGGUCACCUGAUAUAAUAUAUAUAUCCUUGAUAGUCC